UAAUGUAUGGGGAUCUGCCCGAUAGAGGGGGGUAACUACUGGAAACGGUGGCUAAUACCGCAUAAUGUCUACGGACCAAAGCAGGGGCUCUUCGGACCUUGCACUAUCGGAUGAACCCAUAUGGGAUUAGCUAGUAGGUGGGGUAAGGGCUCACCUAGGCGACGAUCUCUAGCUGGUCUGAGAGGAUGAUCAGCCACACUGGGACUGAGACACGGCCCAG
rnacentral:rRNA from 1 species